AUUGAACGCUGGCGGCAGGCCUAACACAUGCAAGUCGAACGGUAACAGGAAGCAGCUUGCUGCUUUGCUGACGAGUGGCGGACGGGUGAGUAAUGUAUGUGAAACUGCCCGAUGGAGGGGGAUAACUACUGGAAACGGUAGCUAAUACCGCAUAACGUCGCAAGACCAAAAAGGGGGACCUUAGGGCCCCUUGCCAUCGGAUGUGCCCAGAUGGGAUUAGCUAGUGGGUGGGGUAAAGGCUCACCUAGGCGACGAUCCCUAGCUGGUCUGAGAGGAUGACCAGCCACACUGGAACUGAGACACGGUCCAGACUCCUACGGGAGGCAGCAGUGGGGAAUAUUGGACAAUGGGCGCAAGCCUGAUGCAGCCAUGCCGCGUGGAUGAAGAAGGCCUUCGGGUUGUAAAGUACUUUCGGCGGGGAGGAAGGGAGUAAAGUUAAUACCUUUGCUCAUUGACGUUACCCGCAGAAGAAGCACCGGCUAACUCCGUG
rnacentral:rRNA from 1 species